CCUACGGGUGGCAGCAGUGGGGAAUAUUGCUCAAUGGGCGGAACCCUGAUCCAGCGACGUCGCGUGAGUGAAGAAGUCUCUCGGUAUUUUAAGCUCUAUCUGUAGGGAAGAAAAUGACGUUACCUGACUUAGUAGCUCCGUCGAACGUCGUGCCAGCAGCCGUGGUAAUACGCAGGGGGCAAGCGUUAUCCGGAUUUACUGGGCGUAAAGGGAGCGCAGACGGCUGUGCAGGUCUGGAGUGAAAGGCGGGGGCCCAACCCCCGGACUGCGCUGGAAACUGUAAAGCUGGAGUGCAGGAGAGGUAAGCGGAAUUCCUGGUGUAGCGGUGAAAUGCGUAGAUAUUAGGAAGAACACCGAUUGCGAAGGCGGCUUACUGGAGUGCAACUGACGUUGAGGCUCGAAAGCGUGGGGAGCGAACAGGAUUAGAUACCCGAGUAGUC
rnacentral:rRNA from 1 species